GUCUAUGGCCAUGCCACCCUGAACAAACCCACUCCCAUCUCAUCUCCAAAGCUAAGCAGGAUCGGACAUGGUUAGUACUUGGAUAGGAGACUACUUUAGGAAAAUCAGGUGCUGUAGUUG
rnacentral:rRNA from 1 species